UUUCUUGAGUUAAAGGGGUUAUGGGAAGAGCUCAAUUCUCAUAGACCAUUACCAAUUUGCAUGUGUGCUCACAGAUGUCGUUGUAAUCUAUUAGCUUCGAAUUUUGACGCCCAUAUAAAUUAAGAGAAAAAAGUUUCCUGUGAAGAUAUUUCGACAAAACUAUGUGUUUGAAGUUCUAGUCGAAGAUGCCUUGGUACAAGGAUAAAGAUGAUGCGUGGACUUAGAAAUAUUUUUAGUAGUUUAAGGUGUUUUUCGACAGAGACGUCACCAGUUGUGGUUCGAAGAGGGAUUCAAAUUCAAAUAAAUGAGGGAACUUUUGUUCUUAUAUAAACUGUUGAAAAUACAUGUGGAGCAUAGUGGAUAGUUACAUGCAUGCAAAACUCCACUUGUCUCGAUUCGGUGGAAAGACCAUUAGAAGCGGUUAUUUCGAUUAGUGUAAAUAAGAGGUCUUAGUGUUAGGAUCGUGUGUGUUCAAGUGUGUAUAAAAUAUAUCAAUUUUACGAAAGUAUCCGUGUGCAGAGAAAGAGUAAAUUGAGAAAUGUACGUUUGAUGUUACACCAUUGUUUUUUACUUGGAGUAAUAUAAUCAAUUCUUUAUUUCUAGAAUUGUACUUUUAUCCAGAAGUUUAUCUUUACUGCCAUUUUUUCGAUUUACAACACUAUUCUUGCCCUCUUUCAUUUUAUAUUUUCA
rnacentral:lncRNA from 1 species